AUAAAAAUUAUGGUGAAGUUGGCAAACGUCUGAAUCAGAUAGUGCAUACCCCUGUAAGUUCACUUGUCAUUGAGCGGUUAGUUGAAGAUUAAUCAUUUUCAUAAAUACUAAAGGUUUAUGGUGCUAAUACCCAUUUCCUUCAGAAAAAUUAACAGUUACAAGUAUCUGCAUUUUACUGAAAGUUCUUUGGUAUAGCCCCAUCUCCAUCAAAGUAGAAGAGUACGUGUUGAUUUUCUCUCCCUUGUUCUGAUUGAUAUCAUACAGAAGUUGCUACAGAUGAAUGAAUAUGGUGCAGUUGUUCCAUUCAUUAUUUGGGCAGUGACCUGCUGUUUAAAUCCUUUGUUUGAGGGGCAUUUAAAUCCUCCUUUGGCCUGGCUGGAACACGAGUUUCAAUAACUCUUGCACAAAAAUUAUGGGAAAUUCCAUGUUCUGAAUAUGACUUUUGAACUAAACAAGGAA
rnacentral:lncRNA from 1 species